AGAUGAGAUUGACCCAUCCCCUUAUUCAUUCACAAGUGCUCUCAAAGCUUUGCAGGCAAGAUCAGGAUAUGGUUAUGGUUGGGAAUACUUGUCACCUGAUGGUUUUGCUCUGAAUUCUAAGUGGAGUGAAGCAGAGAAGUAUAUCUAUAACCCACUUUCAGGAGAGUUUCCAAUGGAAUGUUUGUCUACCAAAACUCUUAAUAGAUUCACAGUUUCC